UUUGAUCAUGGCUCAGAUUGAACGCUGGCGGCAGGCCUAACACAUGCAAGUCGAACGGUAACAGGAAGCAGCUUGCUGCUUUGCUGACGAGUGGCGGACGGGUGAGUAAUGUCUGGGAAACUGCCUGAUGGAGGGGGAUAACUACUGGAAACGGUGGCUAAUACCGCAUAAUGUCGCAAGACCAAAGAGGGGGACCUUCGGGCCUCUUGCCAUCAGAUGUGCCCAGAUGGGAUUAGCUUGUUGGUGAGGUAACGGCUCACCAAGGCGACGAUCCCUAGCUGGUCUGAGAGGAUGACCAGCCACACUGGAACUGAGACACGGUCCAGACUCCUACGGGAGGCAGCAGUGGGGAAUAUUGCACAAUGGGCGCAAGCCUGAUGCAGCCAUGCCGCGUGUAUGAAGAAGGCCUUCGGGUUGUAAAGUACUUUCAGCGGGGAGGAAGGUGUUGUGGUUAAUAACCGCAGCAAUUGACGUUACCCGCAGAAGAAGCACCGGCUAACUCCGUGCCAGCAGCCGCGGUAAUACGGAGGGUGCAAGCGUUAAUCGGAAUUACUGGGCGUAAAGCGCACGCAGGCGGUCUGUCAAGUCGGAUGUGAAAUCCCCGGGCUCAACCUGGGAACUGCAUUCGAAACUGGCAGGCUUGAGUCUUGUAGAGGGGGGUAGAAUUCCAGGUGUAGCGGUGAAAUGCGUAGAGAUCUGGAGGAAUACCGGUGGCGAAGGCGGCCCCCUGGACAAAGACUGACGCUCAGGUGCGAAAGCGUGGGGAGCAAACAGGAUUAGAUACCCUGGUAGUCCACGCCGUAAACGAUGUCUACUUGGAGGUUGUGCCCUUGAGGCGUGGCUUCCGGAGCUAACGCGUUAAGUAGACCGCCUGGGGAGUACGGCCGCAAGGUUAAAACUCAAAUGAAUUGACGGGGGCCCGCACAAGCGGUGGAGCAUGUGGUUUAAUUCGAUGCAACGCGAAGAACCUUACCUGGUCUUGACAUCCACGGAAGUUUUCAGAGAUGAGAAUGUGCCUUCGGGAACCGUGAGACAGGUGCUGCAUGGCUGUCGUCAGCUCGUGUUGUGAAAUGUUGGGUUAAGUCCCGCAACGAGCGCAACCCUUAUCCUUUGUUGCCAGCGGUCCGGCCGGGAAC
rnacentral:rRNA from 1 species